rnacentral:rRNA from 1 species
GACGAACGCUGGCGGCGUGCUUAACACAUGCAAGUCGAACGAAGAGCGACGGCAGCUUGCUUCUGUCAAUCUUAGUGGCGAACGGGUGAGUAACGCGUAAUCAACCUGCCCUUCAGAGGUGGACAACAGUUGGAAACGACUGCUAAUACCGCAUACGAUCUAACCUCGGCAUCGAGGAUAGAUGAAAGGUGGCCUCUACAUGUAAGCUAUCACUGCAGGAGGGGAUUGCGUCUGUUUAGCAUGUUGGCGGGGUAACGGCGCACGACGGCGAUGAUCAGUAGCCGGUCUGAGAGGAUGAACGGCCGCAUUGGGACGGAGACACGGCACAGACGGAUAGAGGAGGCAGCAGUAGGGAAACUGGAGCAAGGGAUGAAAGUCUGACGGAGCAACGCCGCGUGAGUGAGGACGGCCUUCGGGUUGUAGAGCUCGGUUAAUCGGGACGAAAGGCCUUCUUGCGAAUAGGGAGAAGGAUUGACGGUACCGGAAAAGAAAGCCACGGCUAACUACGUG